GACGGGUGGCGCAAGUGUUACUCUUCUUUAUUGGGCGUAAAGGGUGUGUAGGCGGUAUAAUAAGUUUGAGGCUAAAUCUCAUUAAAUCCUUAUUAAAUAUGUUAUGGUCUUUUAUACUAUUAUACUUGAGUUUUUAUAAGAUAUUGGAAUAUUCAAUAGAGACUUCAAAUGCACUAUUAUAUUGAAUAGAACGCCAAAGGCGAAGGCAAUUAUCUAUUAAAAUACUGACGCUGAGGCACAAAGGCGUAGGGAUCAAAUCGG
rnacentral:rRNA from 1 species